UGGGGAAUAUUGGACAAUGGGGGAAACCCUGAUCCAGCAAUGCCGCGUGAGUGAAGAAGGCCUUAGGGUUGUAAAGCUCUUUCACCCGUGACGAUGAUGACGGUAGCGGGAGAAGAAGCCCCGGCUAAUUCCGUGCCAGCAGCCGCGGUAAUACGGAAGGGGCUAGCGUUGUUCAGAUUUACUGGGCGUAAAGCGCGUGCAGGCGGCAGAUCAAGUUAGGCGUGAAAGCCCUGGGCUCAACCUAGGAAUUGCGCUUAAAACUGGUCAGCUAGAGUCCGGGAGAGGGUGGUGGAAUUCCCAGUGUAGAGGUGAAAUUCGUAGAUAUUGGGAGGAACACCGGUGGCGAAGGCGGCCACCUGGCCCGGCACUGACGCUAAAGCGCGAAAGCGUGGGGAGCAAACAGGAUUAGAUACCCCCGUAGUCC
rnacentral:rRNA from 1 species